GGUAGGAUGGCCGAAGUUAGGUGGCGGGUUGUAGCCCCGAAGAUGGAGGUUUUAGUCCUUCUCCUAUCA
rnacentral:tRNA from 1 species